AUGGCAAGCGCGCCAACCUCUCCUCUCCCCUGCGCCGCGCAGGUGGCACCCGAUUGUGUCUCGUUGCUGAGCGGCUCCCGCUGUUCCUCGGACGCCAAGAACUCCUUCCGUCUUUUGCCUGACCAGCGCUUGCAGAAUCUGCACUCGGGGCUUUGCCUUUUCCAGGACAUGAGGAGCGCCCGGCUCUUCCUGGGGAAAUGCACCUCCCAAGCGCUGCACUUCGUUCUGGACUGGGGUAGGGGACUUCUCUCUGCGGUUCAGAAGGGGGGGGCUUGCAGGUGGUGCCUUGGCACACAACCCCUCACCUCGCGUCCGGCUUCCUGGCACCUCUGUCCAGGGGACCAAAUCCAAGGGAGAGGGAGGCCUGGGGGGGGCUCACCCUGCCGUCUCUCUCCCCCCCCCCCACCUGCAUCUCCUUGCCCAGAGGUCUACUGCCCCCAAAGCCUAGCCUGGAGAUCCUGGAAGGACACCUGCCUUUUCCUCGUGCUGGAUGCGGCCCUAGAGUGGAGCCAGGCCUUGACUUUCUGCCAGCGGUUCCACGGCGGAAGCCUGGUCACCCUGAGAGGCCCACGGGAUCUGGUGAGGCGCCUGUCCGGAUUGGGGGAUGAAGGAGAGCAUCACGAAACCCCAAAGGGUUCCCCCCCCAGCCCUCCGCAAUAUAUCCCACCUCCUGGGUCCCUCGGCCGCCCUUUCGUGGCAUUUCCCAGCGUGAAUCUUUUGGGGGAGGGAGGGUGCCAAGGGCCACCAUCCUUGCCCCACGCUGGCGCCAGAGAACUGGGGUGGGGUGGGGGGAGGAAGCUGGGAAGAAGGGCUCUGUGUUUCCCCUCCCCAGGCGUGGCUGCAGGAGGAGCUGCAAGUGAGCGUUUGGACUGGGUUGCGCAGCAGCGGAGGAGACCUGUGGAGCUGGGCGGAUGGCGCCCCUUUCAACCCAGUUUUGCGGCGGUUCAUGUCCUCCUGGGGAACCCCCCGCACGAUGACCUGCAUGGUCGCCCUGCCCUCGGGAUUCCUGAAGGCCGAGCCGUGCCACCGGCCUCACCGAUGGAUCUGUCAGGUCCCACACCAGACGGGUGA
rnacentral:lncRNA from 1 species